GAUGAACGCUGGCGGCGUGCUUAACACAUGCAAGUCGAACGAAGCACUUUAUUUGAUUUCCUUCGGGACUGAUUAUUUUGUGACUGAGUGGCGGACGGGUGAGUAACGCGUGGGUAACCUGCCUUGUACAGGGGGAUAACAGUUGGAAACGGCUGCUAAUACCGCAUAAGCGCACAGCAUCGCAUGAUGCAGUGUGAAAAGCUCCGGUGGUAUAAGAUGGACCCGCGUUGGAUUAGCUAGUUGGUGAGGUAACGGCCCACCAAGGCGACGAUCCAUAGCCGACCUGAGAGGGUGACCGGCCACAUUGGGACUGAGACACGGCCCAAACUCCUACGGGAGGCAGCAGUGGGGAAUAUUGCACAAUGGGCGAGAGCCUGAUGCAGCGACGCCGCGUGAGCGAAGAAGUAUUUCGGGAUGUAAAGCUCUAUCAGCAGGGAAGAUAAUGACGGUACCUGACUAAGAAGCACCGGCUAAAUACGUG
rnacentral:rRNA from 1 species